ensembl:lncRNA
AGAUGGUAUGUGCCGUCCUGAAUUUUCUUUAUGGCCACCUGUCCCAGUAUCCUGUUGUUUGCAGAGAGCAGCCUGUUUGCUUGCAAAGGUCUCAUUCGGGCCAGGCAUGACACUAUGGAGUUAUCCCUGGCUGCCUAGACCUUGUCAAAUUCUUCUACAGCUCAUUUAUUGCUAAAGGGGAGCUCAGAUCGGAAACUCAGAUGACUUGGAGAGGGAAAUAAGAGUGAGGGCUGCAGCCAGGAAAUCUCAAAAAAGAAAUCCAAUCCUUAGAAAAGGAAAGUCCAAAGGGCCCGGGGGCAGCUCUCCUGGGAUACUCUUUCCCUAUGUAUGCUCAAGGAGAUGGAAGCCGUGGUAGUAGCGCUUGAGCUCGUCCAGCACCCUCUGUCUCAGUGACUUCUUUACUGCCACCUCGGCCACUGGGCUCUACACCGUCCUCCAGCUUUUUGUUCUUGAACUUCAGGGACUGGAGUCAUGGCUGAGAGGGGGCAGCGAAUGCCAGCCACGCACCAGAAGGCACUGGCCCCCUGACGAACACACCGGCUGCAGCGGAGUCCAUGGUGCUCCUGCCACCACACACAGGUGCUCAGGCCUCGGGGUCCAUCGGCCGCUGGGCUCGGCUCUGAGGCACACCUACAACUUCUGCUGUGAUAUUGAAGAAAACUUGUGAGAAGAGAAAUCUUUGCCAUAUUUCUGAUCUCAACAAAAAAGAUUUGUGCCUCUCAUCAUGCACAGCAGUGAUGGUAUCCAUCAGUGUCUUGUAGAUGUUCUUUCAAGGGAUACUACUGAGAAUGUCCCUUAAUGGAAUGUUGCUCCAAGAAUGAUGCAGGCAGGGUCAACUGAAGAAGCCACGAUGCAACCAGACUCCUGGACCCUAAUAGUAAAGAUAUUCGAAGUCUUUAUUUUCUGAGAUGGUUCCUUCUGCAGUGAUAAUUGAACCAGGAUGCUGAUUUCUGUGAAGACAUCAGGAUUUGGGAGAGAGGGGAAGACAAGGAGCUGUGCUGCCUCCUCUUGGACAUCGGAGAGCCCCUGUGAUGGAGGUGCGGAAGCCACACCAGCCCCAUGCACAGGAUCUUGCUAUGUAGUUCGGGCUGGCCUUGAACACAGUAUGCAGCUGAGGCUGACUUCAAAUGCGUAUCCUCAGUCUCCUGGUGCUGGGAUUACAAGCAUCUUCCACCACACCUGGAAGCAGUUAACAAUUUGCUGGCAACACGUGACCUGAUACUCUCUUCCUGAUAAAUGCUGCUGCUCCCAGCCAGCCGCACAGUCAUGAAGGGUAAACAAGCAGUGCUCCGAAGGGGACUGUCCCGUACAAGCUAUCUUCUUCAGGUUCACCUCUUUGCAGAUCCUGAAAUCAAGAUUUCAAUAGCUCAACACUGCUGGUAUCAAGUUGACCCUCACGUAGAAGAAAUUUGUUAUACAACUUUCUAGAGUAGGCCCAGGGACACCGUAGCCACAUAAAAUCCUCAGAUGCACUUCACAAUGCAAAACAGCAAAAAACUGGAGGAGCAGAGCCCCCCGCCCAGUGCCAAGGAGGUGAGCUGUGUGGGUGCCAGCAGCAUCACUCUCUCCCACCCCGGUGGCUGCGCUGAGACAGUAUUGGGAUCCACAGCACAGAGGCGCAGGGGGUCAUACAGGACAUUGUUCUGAAAUCCAGAAGAUAGAACAUGAGUGAGCAACAGAAAGAGGGCCUCUCUCAGGCUCCUUGAUGAAAAUGGAAGCCCAUUGGAAAAGUGAGGAAAAUCUCUGCAAUAAAGGCACACCAGACCACUGUGGUUGCCCACUGAAUCAGGCAGGAUGGUGUGUGACUGCAGUCCCCGCACUCUGGACAGCUAAGGUAAGAAGGUCACAUGGUGGAGUCCAGCCUGACCAAUUUGGUGAGUUAGUGAGACCCUUAGUGGGUAUCUGGAGUAAAAUGUCUGAGGAUAUAGUUCACUGAGGAGAUGCAGAGUACAAGCUCCAGUAAUGCAAAAGUGAAAAACUGACAGAUAG